AAUUUUAAAUUCACAGAUACAACAGUGCAGCAUUUUGAUAAACAUGCUUAGGUUCUGUGUUGCAUUUUUUAAAUUCUGCAUUUCUCUAAACAACAGACAUACUGUGUAUAUCAGUCUUCUGCUGACAGUAGGUAUCAUAAAUGGAGAUGAAAUAACACAGGAAUCCAGUAAAACCGCAUAUGAAGAAAGAGACGCUGUCCUCCUCUGUAAUUUCACAACAGCUGCAGUAACGCAGCUGAGCUUUUACUGGUAUCAGCAGAAAGCAAAUGGACCCUUAGAGUACUUACGCCUUCAUAUGUAUAAAUCUAAACCUGAUGCAAAGGAAGGUCGUUUCACAUCACACUUUGAUGUAUCCAACAAGUCUGUGUACCUAAAUAUUUCCAGAGCCCAGCUCUCUGACUCGGCAGUUUACUACUGUGUGAUGAGUGACACAGUGUUGAUAUCUUCACUAACAUGAGACAAGAACUUGAACCAGGUGUUCAUGGAGAAAACUUCACUUUUUACUUGAGAAGAAACAGGGCAGGGACAUUCCAGUAUAUAUCAUAUAUCACAUGGCAUGACAAACACUGAUGGUUUGGUUUACAAUAACAUAGAUUGUUCUUCAUAUUC